rnacentral:rRNA from 1 species
UACGUAGGGUGCAAGCGUUAAUCGGAAUUACUGGGCGUAAAGAGUGUGUAGGCGGUGCUCUAAGUUCGGUGUGAAAUCUCCUGGCUCAACUGGGAGGGUGCGCCGGAAACUGGAGUGCUUGAGCGUGGGAGAGGAAAGCGGAAUUCCUGGUGUAGCGGUGAAAUGCGUAGAUAUCCAGGAGGAACACCUGUGGUGUAGACGGCUUUCUGGACCAUAGCUGACGCUGAGACACGAAAGCGUGGUAGCAAACAGG